GGGCGGUUAGCUCAGCGGUAGAGCACUUGCUCGACACGCAAGGGGUCACAAGUUCAAUCCUUGUACCGCCUG
rnacentral:tRNA from 1 species